GUCACUUGGGUCCCAUGACGUCACUUGGGGUCGCUCUAUGGGACUUGGGUCACAUCAUGUUCCUUGAGGUCCUCCCAUGUCAUUUGGGGUCAUUUGAGGGUCUUGUGACAUCAUUUGGGGUCCCUUGGGUCUUGUGACAUCACUUGGGGUCCCCCAAUGUCCCCCUGGUGUCCCCAACGUCCCCUUGUCCCCCCCCAGCUCACCUCGGGCUCCUACGGCUCCGGCAGCUCCGGGGGCUUCCAGGGGGGACAGAUCACGCUCAGCAUGCAGAAGUUUGAGAUGCUGAACGCGGAGCUGGAGGGGAACCAGGAGCUGGCCAACAGCCGCAUGGCCGAGCUGGAGAAGCUGCAGCAGGAGCUCCAGCAGGCCGUCAGGGGCCACGAGCGCCUCAAGGUGACCCCGGGGGGGCUUUGGGGACAUUGGGGGGGUCAUUGGGGACAUUGGGGGGGGUGUUGGGGACAGUUGGGGGGGCGUUGGGGUCAUUGGGGUUAUGUGGGAUAGCAGGGGGGUGGGAAGGGUUGGAGGAUCUCAAGAACGUUGUCAACAUUGGGGUCAUCAACGUUGGGGUCAAUGUUGCGGUCAUCAACGUUGGGGACAUCGUAAAUAUUGGGGUCAUUGUCAACAUUGGGGUCAACGUUGGGGACAUCAACGUUGGGGAUGUCAAUAUUGGGGACAUCAUAAAUAUUGGGGAAACGGUGAAUGUUGGGGUGUCGGGGCCAUAAAUUUGGGGGACGUCACGAACGUUGGGGUCAUGGUGGCCGCUGGGGACACGGUGAACGUUGGCGACGUGAACGUUGGGGACACCAUAGAUAUUGGGGACACCGUAGAUUUUGGGGACAUUUUAGACAUUGGGGAUGUUGUAGAUAAUGGGGAAAAUGGCAAAUUUUUU
rnacentral:lncRNA from 1 species